GUUGUUUACCACAAAAACUACAAUGACCAUGAAGCCUUGCGCGGGCACGAGCGCACAUAUGUGAAUUUUUCUACAAAUCGUUUUUGGCGAUUCUGUUCGGGGCGGGGGGGAUGUUGAUCACGACCGGAAUAUCGGUGUAGGACAAUCCAAGAUUUGGCACAGCCAUACCACCGUCCUUUUAUAAUUUCUGCAUCUCGUGGGUGACUUCUCGUUCGUAGAAAACAACGGCAGCGAGGCUCACGCAUGCAGCAUGAUUGUGAAAGACUCCAUUUCUAUCCACAAAGAAACAUUACAGAGGCAAUGCCAUGCUGCCUGGCCUGCUGAGUUCCGCUUUGUCAGGUGUGGCCGCAGGUGAAAGGAACAGAACGAGGUUUCACAUUUGAGGACAGGUCUCAGUUUGUUGAUACGGUACUCACACAUCACGGAGGCCGCGGCUGAGGAGGGUAAAAAAGGAUCAGCCAUGAUUGAAUGGCAGAGCAGACCUGAUGGGCCAGAUGACUGAAUACUGCCCCUACGUCUUAUGGGUCGGCUGGGCAGUGGUGAUGGGCCGGCACCAGUUGUAUUUCUCCACAAUGUUCUGUGGCAAGUGGUUUUUCACCAGCUUGGGUCUCCAGUUGAAGCUCUGACAGAAUUUGAGGGCAGCUGACUCAACGUUGAUUCGUUGAAUGGUCCCAGGCAUCAUUGAUGCAUUUUGCUGGUAAGGCAAACACACGGGGUGCUGGAACAACCCAGACACACACUCCAGGUCAGCUCUUUCGACUGCACCCCUGUUUUCAUUCUGCCUGCUCAGAGAGAGGAGCAGUAAAGAACCAGAGAGAAUGAGAGAUCACAGAAAAUGAUUCAUUUCAGUUUCGGGAGUCAUAGUUCAAAGUAAAUUCAUCAUCCAACCUGAAUCUGUGAGACAGUAAUUCUGUGGUAAUUUAUGAUUGGUAUGAUGUUUCUGCAAUUCCAGGGCUAUUUUAUGAAUCUGUAACGUGAGAAAGUCUGCAGAUGCUGGAAAUCCAAAGCAACGCACACAAAAUGCUGGAGGAACUCAGCAGGUCAGACUGCAUCUAUGGAAAUGAAUAAGCAGUCAACUUUUCGGGCCGAGACCCUUCAUCAGGACUUUAAUGAUGCUCUAAUUUUAUAAUUCUACAAUUAUACCAUGAUUGUAUAACUGUGAUUUCAUGAAUCAAUUAUUCAGAAUCAGAACCGUGAAAUUUUUUGCUUUGUGUCAGCAGUUCAAUGCGAUUCAUAAUCAUACAAACUGUGAAUUACAGUAAGUGUUGUGCAUUUAAUAUUUCAAUAGUAUUUGUGAAGUUUUGUACAUACAGAAUAUAUAUAUAUAUACUCCUCCACGCUGGCAUGCUUGCCACAGUCAUGGUCAGCAACAGUAACUGUGAGUCUUUUCAAGUUAGAUCAGGAGUAAAACAGGGAUGCGUGAUUGCCCCAACUUUGUUCACCAUCUUCAUUGCGACAAUCAUCCGCAUUAUCAAGGACGACCUACGCCCAGGAAUCGAAAUUGUCUACAGAACAGAUGGCAGACUUUUCAAUCUUGCCCGUCUCAAGUCCAAAACGAAGACAUCCAUGAGUUCCCUCACCGAGUUCCAAUACGCAGAUGACAACAGUGUUGCAGCUCUUUCAGAAAACCACUGACAACAGAUUCUGACUGCCUUCAACCGUGCGUACACGAAACUUGGACUUACCAUCAAUUCCAAGAAGACUCAGAUCAUCUAUCAACCGUCACCAAUUGGGUCAAAUCAGAUAGAACCCUCAUUUCAACUUGGCGAAACAACCCUGGAAAAAGUGGACCACUUUCUGUAUCCUGGAAGUCACCUCUCCUCCAAUGUCGACCUUAAUGACAAGAUCCAACAUCGUCUUAAAUGUGCUGGAACAGCUUUUGGACGUCUCCGAACAAGAGUCUUUCAUGAUCGUGACAUCCAAACAGACACCAACAUGUUAGUGUACAAAGCAGUGGUAAUCCCAACGCUCCUGUAUGCAUCAGAAACCUGGACAACAUACCAACGACAUCUGAAGGCACUUGAAAAGGUCCAUCAACGCUGUCUUUGAAACAUCUUAAAUAUCAGCUGGGAAGAUAGAAGAACCAAUGUCAGUGUACUAAAUGAAGCAAAAACACCAAGCAUUGAAGCCUACGUCAUCAAGAACCAACUAAGAUGGAGCGGUCAUAUUGUUCGGAUGAAAGAUGAACGUCUGCCGAAACAAAUCUUCUACUCCCAGCUUAAAGAAGGCAAACGUAAAAGAGGCGGACAACAGAAGAGAUUGAAAGACAUCUUAAAAGCCAACAUAAAGAAAUGUAAUAUCAACAUCAACAAUUGGGAAACCAAUGCCAAGGACAGGAAACUCUGGCAAGCCAUCAUCCGAGAAGGAACAUCGACUUUCGAAGCCAACAGAUGUGCAGAAUUAGAAGAAAAGAGAAGAAAAUGGAAAGAGAGGCAGCAACAACCAAAGCCCGAUCUGCCAUCUGGAACUACCUGUCCUGAAUGCGGAAGAACUUUCAAAGCCGAGAUUGGACUCGUAAGCCACUUGAGAGCCCAUAAGUAGAUCAACAGAAUGAAGACCAUCAUCCUUGACCUCGAGGGAUAGCCACGACGACGAUAUAUAUAUAUAGGUUGAUUAAGAAUUCUUGUUCGUUUUAAAUAAUUAAUUAUGGGUUAUGUGUAAAAUUAUUUUAAAUUUGUACGUCAUCACGCUACCACAUGAUACGUACGUGCCUCACUUUCCCACAUUCCUGAACCCCCCCCCAAUCUUCCUUUGAAUUAGUUCAACGGUUUGAAGGUACAAAACAUAACAUUGAUGACAAAGUAUUUUUAAAACUUAGAGGGCUAUGGGUAACCCUAGGUAAUUUCUAAAGUAAGUACAUGUUUGGCACAGCAUUGUGGGCCGAAGGGCCUGUAUUGUACUGUAGGUUUCUAUAUUUCUAUGUUUCUAAAAUGAACCCAACACGACCUGUGAAAGUGCAGCGAGACUUUCAAAAUAAAAAAAACACUGCGGGGAAGGUCAAAUUUGAAAGAAGCAGCUAAGUACAUGCAGAAUCGUCAAUCUUGUUUUUAAAAGGGGUCAUUAAUGGAAGAAUUCAUGGGUACAUAAAGAAUGAGUGAUAAUAAUUGUUUAAAAAUGAAAAUGGGUGGCUACAUCAGAAAAAUUGAUGAGUUUGAUUAAACAAUAGAUAAUUGGCGCAUGUAUACUGAAAUAUUGGAACAGUAUUUUGAAGCAAAUGAAAUAGCCAAUGAAAAGUGAUUGCCAAUUUUGCUGAGUGCAUUGGGAUUAAAGGCACAGAGUUUGCUUCAAAGUUUGACUGCUCUAGCCAAACUAGCAGAAACUAGCUUUAAUGAUAUUGUCAAUAUGAUGCAGGAACACGUAGAAACAAAGCCAUUGUUGAUUGCAGAAUGUUUUACAUAGAACAUAGAAGAGUACAGCACAGGAACAGGUUAUUCGGCCCACAAUGUUGUGUCAAAUCAGCUGAAAAGCAAGUCUAAAUCAACUAAAACAUUAAUACCCCCUACCUACACCAUGUCCAUAUCCCUUCAUCAUCCUUACAUCCAUGUGCCUAUUGAAAUGUCCCUUAAAAGCCUUUAAUAAUUUAUACUUUAUUGUCGCAAAACAAUUGAUACUAGAACAUGCAAUCAUCACAGCGAUAUUUGAUUCUGUGCUUUCCACUCCCUGGAUUACAAAUAUUAAAUAUGAAAAAUAGUAAAAAUUAGUAAAUAUUAAAAAUUUAAAUUAUAAAUCAUAAAUAGAAAAUAGAAAAAUGGAAAGUAAGGUAGUGCAAAAAAACCGAGAGGCAGGUCCAGAUAUUUGGAGGGUAUGGUCCAGAUCCGGGUCAGGAUCCAUUCAGCAGUCUUAUCACAGUUGGAAAGAAGCUAUUCCCAAAUCUGGCCAUACGAGGCUUCAAGCUCCUGAGCCUUCUCCCGGAGGGAAGAGGGACGAAAAGUGUGUUGGCUGGGUGGGUCGUGUCCUUGAUUAUCCUGGCAGCACUGCUCCGACAGCAUGCGGUGUAAAGUGAGUCCAUGGACAGAAGAUUGGUUUGUAUGAUGUGCUGCACCGUGUUCACGAUCUUCUGCAGCUUCUUUCGGUCUUGGACAGGACAGCUUCCAUACCAGGUUGUGAUGCACCCUAGAAGAAUGCUUUCUACAGUGCAUCUAUAAAAAAUAGUGAGGGUUUUAGGGGACAGGCCAAAUUUCUUUAAUUAUUUGCCUCUGCCAUCAUAUUAGGCAGCACAUUCUCUGCAUCCACAACUCUGAGUAAAAACUUAACCCUCACUUCCCCCUUGAACCUACCCCCUCUUACCUUCAAUGCAUGCUUUUUGGUAUUAGACAUUUCAACCCUGGGAAACAGACACUCUCUGCCCACUCUAUCUAUGUCUCUCAUAAUCUUGUAAAUCUAUCAGAUCUCCCCUCAGCCUCUGAUGCACCAGAGAAAACAACUCAAGUUUAUCCAACCCCUCAUGAUAGCACAUGCCCUCUAAACCAGGCAGCAUCCUGGUAGACCUCUUCUACUCCCUCUCCAAAGCCUCAACUUCCUUCUGAGAGUGGGGCAAACAGAACUGUAUGCAAUACUCCAGAUGUGGCCUAACCAGAGUUUUAUAAAGUUGCAACAUAACCUCUUGACUUUUGAACUCAAUUCCUCAACUAGUAAAAGCAAGGCACAAUUAGAGAUUGGUUGGUAUGAUGUUAUGGGCAUCACUGAGUCAUGGCUGAAAGAAAGCCAUAAUUGGGAUCUUAAUAUCAAUGAAUAUACUUCGUAUUGAAAGGACAGGUAAGAAGGCAUAGGCUGUGGUGUGGCUCUGUUGGUAAGGGACGGAAUUACAUCUUUAGAAAGAAGUGAUAUGGGUCAGAGAAUGGUGAAUCAUUGAGGGUGGAGUUAAGGAACUGCAUGGGUAAAAAAAAAACAUUAUGGGGAUCAUAUAUAGGCCUCCAAAUAGUAGUCAAGAUGUGGGGUGGAGAUUACAAAGAGAGCUGGAAAAGGCAAUAAGGAUAAUUACACAAUUGUAAUGGGGGACUUCAAUAUGAAAGAAGAUUGGGAAAAUCAGGUUGUUGUUGGAUUGCAAGGGAGGGAAUUUGUUGAAUGCCUACAAGAUGGCUUUUUAGAGCAGCUUGUGCUUGGAACUACUCAGAGGAAGACUAAUAGAUUCGGUGAUGUAUCUUAUUAGGGAGCUUAAUAUAAAGAAACCCUUAGGAAGCAGUGAACAUAAUAUGAUUGAAUUCAUACUGCAAUUUGUGAGGGAGAAGCAUAAAUCACAUGUAUCAGUAUCACAAUGAAACAAAGGGAAUUACAGAGGCAUGAGAGAGGAGCUUGCCCACGUGGAGUGGAGGAGGAUACGAGUAGGGAUGACGGCAGAGCAGAGAUGGCUGAAGUUUCUGGGAAUAGUUGACAAGGCAUAGGACAGAGAAGUUCUCAAAUGGCAGGGCUAGGUGACUGUGGCUGAAAAAGGAAGUUAAAGACUACAUAAAAGCCAAGGAAAGGGCAUAUCAGGUAGCAAAAGUGAGUGGGAAGUUGGAUCUGGAAUCUUUUGGGAAUCUUUCAAAAUCCGACAAAAGGCAACUAAAAAAGCUAUAAGAAGGGAAAAGAUGAAAUAUAAGGACAGAUUAGCCAAAAAUAUAAAGUUAAAGUCUGUCCCGAGCCUUGUGGCCCAUCAGGCCAGUGCUUAUGCUGGUUUCUAUGGCGUGAAGCGACUGAGAGUACGAGACUACACCCCCGGAUAGGACGCCAGUCUAUCGUGAGGUUAACCCCCAGCAUUUGCCGGUACCCAUUUUCAGCUGGGUGGACUGGAGCAGUGUGUGGUUAAGUGCCUCGCUCAAAGACACAACACACUGCCCUGGCCGAGGCUGGAACCCACGACCUUCAGAUCGUGAGCCCAACGCCCUAAUCACUUGGCCACACGCCACACCAAUAAUAUAAAGCAGGAUACUAAAAGUUUUUUCAGGUUUAUAAAGAGUAAAAGAGAGGCAAGAGUUGAUACUGGAGCACUGGAAAGUGAUGCUGGUGACGUAUGAUAAUGCAUUUUGGUAAAAGAAACAAUAGUGCGGACUAUUAUCUAAAUGGGGAGAAAAGGCAAACAUCAGAGGGACUUAGGAGUCCUCGUGCAAGACUCCCAGAAGUUUAAUUUACAGGUUGAGUCUGUGGUAAGGAAGGCAAUGUUGGGUUUUAUUUCAAGGGGAAUAUAAUAUAAAAGCAAGGAGAUAAUGCUGAGGCUUUAUAAGACACUAGUCAGACCACACUUGGAGUAUUGUCAACAGUUUUGGGCCCCAUUUCUCGAAAAGGAUGUAUUGUCAUUGAAGAGAGUCCAGAGGAGGUUCAUGAGGAUAAUUCUGGGAAGGAAGGGGUUAAUUUAUGAGGCCCUUUUGGCAGCUUUGGGCCUGUACUCACUGGAAUUUAGAGGAGUAAUUGGGGAUCUCAUUGAAACCUACCGAAUGUUGGAAGGACUAGAGAGGAUGGAUGUGGAGAGGAUUUUUCCUGUGGUGGGGGUGUCUAGAACUGGAGGCACAGCUUAAAAAUGAAGGGUGACCUUUUAGAAUAGAGGUAAGGAUGAAUUGUUUUAGACAGGGGUCGGUGAAUGUUCUGCCACAGACUGCAGUGGAGGGCAAGUCAGUGGGUGUAUUUAAGGUAGAAGUUGAUAAUUUAUUGAUCAUCAGGGCAUCGAAGGAUAUGGUGAGAAGGCAGGUGUAUGGGGUUGAGUGGGAUCUGGGAUCAGCCAUGAUGGAAUGGCGAAGCAGACUCGAUGGGCUGAAGGCCUAAUUCUGCACCCAUAUCUUAUGGUCUGAUGGUAUGUAUAGAAUGCCUUGGGGUUCACCUUAAUCCUUUUUGCGAAGGACUUUUCAUGGCCUUUCCUGGCUUUCCUAUUUCCCUUCUUUAGUUCUUUUAAAGAUUUAAAGUCUUUGUGUGCUUUGUUUGAUCCUUACUUCUGAAAUUUUACAUAAUUUUCCUUUUUCCUUUUGACUAAAUUCAUCACCUACCUGGACAUCCAAGGUUCUCUCAUCUUUCCAUCAUUGUCCUUCACUCUUACAUGAACAUACCUUUCCUGUACUCUGUGCAAUUGAACUUUAAACACUCUCCUCAUGUCUGAUGUGGACUUGCUGGAGAAAGGCUGUUCCCAAUUAACUCUUCUUAGAUCCUGCCUAAUGCCCUCGUGAUUUGCCCUACUCCAAUUUAAAACCCUCCCACAGGGACCAUGCCUAUCCUUAUCUAGAGCUAUCCUGAAAGUUCAGGAGUUAUUGUCACAGUUCCCUAGCUGUUCACCCAUUGAAAGGUCAGUGAAGAAGCUGUUCCUGAAUCGUAGCGAGUAUGUCUUCAGGCUCCUGUAUCUCCUCCCUGAUGGUAGCAAUGAAAAGCGGAUAAUGGGGGUACUUAAUGAUGGAUGCUGCCAUUUUGAGGCAUCACACCUUGAAGAUGUGCUGGAUGCUACGAAGGCUAGUGUGCAUGAUGGAGAUGACUGAUUUCACAACUUUCUGCAGCUUCUUUUGAUCCUCUGCAGUAGCCUCACUCCCCAUACCAGACGGUUAUACAGCCAGUUAGAAUGCUCUCCACAGUAACUCUGCAGAAAUUUGCACAUGUCUUUGGUGACAAGCUCCUAAUGAAAUAUAGCUGCUGUCGUGCCUUCUUUGUAGCUGCAUUAAUAUGUUGGGCCCAGGAUAGAUCAUAAGACCAUAAGAUAUAGGAGUGGAAUUAGGCUACUUGUCCAUUGAGCCUGUUCCACAAUUUUGUCAAGGUUGAUCCAUUUUCCCCCUCAACCCCAAUCUCCUGCCUUCUCCCCGUAUCUCUUCAUGCCCUGAUUAAUGAAGGAUCUAUCAAUCGCUACAUAAAGACUUGGCCUCCACAGCUGCCAGUGGCAAGGAAUUCCACAAAUUCAUCAUUCACUGGCUAAAGAAAUUUCUCCUUAUUUCCAUUCCAAAAGGACAUCCCUCUGUCCUGAGGUUGUGUCCUCUGGUCUUAAACUCCCCCACUGUAGGAGACAUCCUCUCCAAAUCCACUCUGUCGAGGCCUUUCACCAUUCAAUAGGUUUCAAUGAGGCCAACCCUCAUUUUUCUGAAUUCCAGUGAGUAGAGACCCAGAGCCAACAAACACUCCUCAUAUGACAAGCCUUUCAAUCCUGGAAUCAUUUUUGUAAACCUCUUUUGAACCUGCUUCAAUGUCAGCACAUUCUUACUUAGAUAAGAGGCCCAAAACUGCUCACAAUUCUACAAGUGAGGCUUCACCAGUGCCUUACAAAUUCUCAACAUUACUUCCAGCUUUAAUAUCCUAGUCCUCCUGAAAAGAAUGUUAACAUUGCAUUUGCCUUCCUCACCACUGACUCAACCUGCAAAUUAACCUCCAGGAAAUUCUGCACAAGGACUCCCAAGUCCCUUUGUGCCUCAGAAUUUUGAAUUUUCUCACCAUUUAGAAAAUAGUCUACCCUUCUUUAUCUUCUACCGAAGUGUAUGGCCAUACACUUCUGACACUGCAUUCCAUCUGCCAAUUCUUUGCCCAUUCUCUUAAUCUGUAUAAGUCCUUCUGUAGCCUCUCGACUUCCUUAAAUCUACCUGCUGCCCCACCCCUCUUCGUAACAUCUACAAACCUGGCCACAAGGCCAUCAAUUAGGUCAUCCAAAUACUUGACAUAAAAUGUAAAAUUAAUCGAUCAGAAUCAGAAUCCGGUUUAUUAUCACCGGCAUGUGAUUUGAAAUUUGUUAUCUUAGCAACAGUUCAAUGCAAUUCAUAAUAUAGAGGAAGAAAGAAAAACAUAAUAAAAUAAUAAUAAAUAAAUUACAGUAUACAUAUUGUUACAUGCUCAAGGAGAUGUGUUUUUUUUUGUGAGAAUGAUGUAAUGGUCUUUUGGCGGUCACCUGAUGUGAUUUUCCCGCCAAUGUGAGGUCAUGUGAUGACAUGUGACCCAUGACUAUAUAAGGGUCGACCCAGGUGAUGCAGGGUUUUUGAGUUUGUAGAUUUCCAGGUAGAACAUGUUGUACCUCCGUUUCUGUUGCGUGUUUGUUUUUGUGACACAGUUUCAUUUUUAAAAUGGAGUGUGCGUUCUGUUGCAAAAUACCAUAUUAUUUGGACUGGAAAUUUUUGCUAGAUGCGUUGAUUUACUCAAUUCCAACAUUAGAAAGGAGAGUGAAGAAUUUAUCGAAGUUACAGGAUCGAAGGAUUGAGAGGAGUCGGCAUCGUUUGGCAGAUUAAUAAAGGAUCGACCUUAUUGAGUCUUCGUUGGAGUAGCAACUUGCAUUGAGAUAACUCUUGCCAAAAAGAGCAAGAAGUUCAUGCAAAAAGAUGCUCUCUCUCUCUCUCUCUCUCUCUAAAGGAAUUUAAGGUCAGUUGAUUUAAACUGUUGAUUUUCGGCAUCGUGAAUCCUGUGGACAGAACCAGCAGGAAAGUUGCGUCUGUGAAGAAAUCCUUCUCCAGAGAAGUCUCUCCCAAUUGAAUGUGGAAAUCUGUUGGACUUCCGAAGUUAUCACUUUAAGAACUAUAUUUGACUUUAUCGCUUAAAGAACCGUUUUCGCAUUUAACGCUUUAAGAACAAGUGCCAAGUGGCGAGUUGGUGAACGGCUGCAUAUCUAUUAA